AGUGAACGCUGGCGGUAGGCCUAACACAUGCAAGUCGAACGGCAGCACAGUAAGAGCUUGCUCUUACGGGAGGCGAGUGGCAGACGGGUGAGGAAUACAUCGGAAUCUACUUUUUCGUGGGGGAAAACGUAGGGAAACUUACGCUAAUACCGCAUACGACCUACGGGUGAAAGAAGGGGAUCUUCGGACCUUGCGCGAUUGAAUGAGCCGAUGUCGGAUUAGCUAGUUGGCGGGGUAAAGGCCCACCACGGCGACGAUCCGUAGCUGGUCUGCGAGGAUGAUCGGCCACACUGGAACGUAGACACGGUCCAGACUCCUGCGAGAGGCAGCAGUGGGGAAUAUUAGGCAAUGGGCGCAAGCCUGAUCCAGCCAUACCGCGUGGGUGAAGAAGGCCUUCGGUUUGUAAAGCCCUUUUGUUGGGAAAGAAAAUCAGCAAGUUAAUACCCCGCUGUUCUGACGGUACCCAAAGAAUAAGCACCGGCUAACUACGUG
rnacentral:rRNA from 1 species